ACAGGAUUAGAUACCCUGGUAGUCCACGCCGUAAACGAUGUCGACUUGGAGGCUGUUCCCCUGAGGAGUGGCUUCCGGAGCUAACGCGUUAAGUCGACCGCCUGGGGAGUACGGCCGCAAGGUUAAAACUCAAAUGAAUUGACGGGGGCCCGCACAAGCGGUGGAGCAUGUGGUUUAAUUCGAUGCAACGCGAAGAACCUUACCUACUCUUGACAUCCAGAGAACUUUCCAGAGAUGGAUUGGUGCCUUCGGGAACUUUGAGACAGGUGCUGCAUGGCUGUCGUCAGCUCGUGUUGUGAAAUGUUGGGUUAAGUCCCGCAACGAGCGCAACCCUUAUCCUUUGUUGCCAGCGAUUCGGUCGGGAACUCAAAGGAGACUGCCGGUGAUAAACCGGAGGAAGGUGGGUAUGACGUCAAGUCAUCAUGGCCCUUACGAGUAGGGCUACACACGUGCUACAAUGGCGCAUACAAAGAGAAGCGACCUCGCGAGAGCAAGCGGACCUCAUAAAGCGCGUCGUAGUCCGGAUCGGAGUCUGCAACUCGACUCCGUGAAGUCGGAAUCGCUAGUAAUCGUGGAUCAGAAUGCCACGGUGAAUACGUUCCCGGGCCUUGUACACACCGCCCGUCACACCAUGGGAGUGGGUUGCAAAAGAAGUAGGUAGCUUAACCUUCGGGAGGGCGCUUACCACUUUGUGAUUCAUGACUGGGGUGAAGUCGUAACAAGGUAAC
rnacentral:rRNA from 1 species